rnacentral:lncRNA from 1 species
UCCCCUGCUACUCCUACUUCCUCUUUUUUCAUAGUUCAAGGCUACCAAUUUGAACCAUUCACUGCUCGAUUUCCUUCCUUCUUCUUACUAGUAAUUGAAUCCAGAAUUACUACUUCCCUUUAAUUUUUUAUGUUUUGGACAUAAGGGUUGCAUUUUGGUGGUUUAAGGUCACUAUUCAAGAGUGCUUCCAGCUGAAAACUAUGAACAC